rnacentral:tRNA from 1 species
GGCCCGUUGGAGAAGCGGUCAACUCAUAGCCCUCUCAAGGCUACAUUCACGGGUUCGAAUCCCGUACGGGUCACCA